AGCAGUGGGCCCGCGGUCGUCAUGCAUAAUGACGACAUAUUACUUUUUCUCAACAUCAAGUUGUUUAUAAGGACUAAUUAAUGUUAUAAAUGAUUUCUUUGUAUUACGAAAGUUACAGUAAAUUUUAGGGAAAUUUGAGGACCAGUAUAAUACAACAUAACCAAAAUUUUUGUAAAGCACAGUUUCGCAUAUGUUCAAUAACCUCCGACUGAAAGUAGCAACACGAUAAAUCGGUUUAUUAAUGGAUGUCGUAUUUGGAUAUGUGAUGAAUCAUUUCUUUCUUAUUUUAAAACCAACUCCAACAUUGUAGUACUGCUUCGUAAACUAUAACAUACGAUUAGUGAAAAUCACUGUUACAAAGCUUUUUUUUAUAGUUUGUUUUUCCACGUCACCGUUUCAUCAUGGUAAAUUGAUGUAUGACGCAAAAUUGAGAGUGAUGUUAAUUGAAGUAGAGAUGGAAUUUUUUUUCAUUAUUCAACGAAUUAUUGGAUACACAUUGACAAGAGUUUAUGUCAAAAUACUACAGACCACCCUUACCGGAUUUCACUUUACGUUUAACAUACAAUCGUUCUCUUGGCUGUAUUUUAAAAAAAAUGGUUUCGUUACGCAUGCUAAUUGGGCUUCAUGCAAAGUAGCUAAAAUGCUUAGAUAACCUAUUAAAAGCAUCGGUAUGCUUGGAUAUUUGGAGUCUUUCAUUUUUAUUGUAUCCUUACUGUAUGCUCAAAACUUCAGCAGGAGAAUGUAUAAAUACAAGUGGAUUGCUCAAAUUAAUCACUUGUUGUUCUUACUUAUUUUAUAAAAUAUCAUUGAAAAAUUCAAAGUCUCCCCAUGGAUUCAAAAUUUGUUAGUUUUAAUGAGAAAUAUGAAGAAAUCACCAGAACCUUUCGACACGCAUUUCAAUUUGUUUUCAAGAAAAAAAAAUACUCUUUUAAACAUUUACACAAACACUUCCCACUGCAAAUAAUAUCAUUAAAAAGGUCAAAUGAUUUUACUUUAUAUGAUUUCUACUUUCAGUUUAUAUAAAAAAACACUUUUACUAAAAACACUCACUCGUUUAGAGAAGAGGAUAUAUUUUGUUACACGGGUGUCAGGAUAUGAGUCCUUGAAAUCGACAAUUCGGUUUAGUGCAGAUUAUCAAGCCGGUUGCCUAUGACAUUCUUUAUGACCAAAUACAAAAGCAGCACCAGUAGAUGAAUGAUUGUGCUUUGUGGAAGAAGAAAAUUAGUGAAACAUAGCCGUCUCUUGUCGGUAGACUAUAUAACACUAUCAUUUAUAGAAGAUAGGGAAAUACCUUAUUUUCCUUGAAGCUGAAAAUGGAUGCAUUUCCAUAUUUUUUUUAUGAACAGUCGUUUUACUCACCUAAAAAAUGACAUCAUAUUUAUCUCUUAUACAAGCACUAGUUUAUCGCUGAAAGAUCCCCUACUUCUAUGUGUCGGUAUAAAUUUGUUUUUAAGCGAGUAGCUAAGAGAUGUAUGUUUUUUUUUAAUGUGCAAAAGAAUUUUUCUUAAUGAAUGUUUCCAAAAAAUAUAUUAAGUGAAAA